CUGUGCAAAUCAACUCGCUCCGAUCUUCACAAGGAUCUUCAACAAGUCACUGGAGACGUAUGAGGUCCCCUCCUGCCUCACCUAGUACCUUGCAGAGCAACUUCCUGCUAAGGCUAGCAUCUUCACUCUUUACUUUGAAAUAACAGGUGUAGCGAGUUAUGUAUAGAUAUGUCAGGGAUUCAGAUGUGCAUGUUUCAAAUAUACUAUGAUCAGGACCCUGAUCCAAUCCCAACUAUUACUAAUAACCUAUUGGUCAUAAAAAUAUCUAAGCCAGGAAAAUUAUAGGCCAUAUACAGUAAUCUGUGAAAUAAAGCUCAAAACAUCCUAACAACAAUGCCAAACUAAAAAUUUAAUGACUUUAGAUAUACUUAAAAGAACUUUAACACCAAACUGUAGAAAAUGUCCACUGUUUCAAUGUGGAGUAAAGCUGAAGUUUUUCUGGAACUUCCACCGAUCAGCACCUUAGCUAAAAGAUAAAAACUUCCCCUACAAGCAUCAUGACACUGGACACCCCAAUGCUAAGAACAUUCUGGAUCAUUUAUUUGUCAUUAAACAUCCAUCAAUAGGCGGUACAGAACUUUAUACCCUUUAAUGAGAUUAUGCACAUCUCAUUACUUAUCAGGUCCAAAUGCUGCCAGGCAGGCUGCUCAUAUAUUAUCAUCAUUGAUCACUGUGACUGAGUUCAUUACAAAAGCACGGUGGACUGUUCUCACUACUAAACUACUGAUGCCUUUUUCAAAACUCUAACUGCAUUCAGCACAAGACAUGAGUAAGUAAAAAUCUUGUUUAUAACAGAUUUAGAGUUUUGAAAUGUAUAUUUACUUAAGUAAAUAUAAAUUUGUGCUUAACAUCUUUUUGCACUUUUAGGAUGUGUGGUGGAUUCUAAAUGCAGCAUUAUAUAAAGAGAUAUGCACACGUUUUGCAUAAGACUAAGUAUACAGUAUUAUAGCUAGAUCAAAGCUCAAGAUUCUUUUGAGUGGGAGACAAUGAGCCUAAUUUAAAGGAAUUAAUCAGCAUUCUGACCUAACUGAGAUUUAAUUUGUUUAUGUUGUCAAUUCAGACCACCCAAGCAUACUUUUAUAUCUUAAAAUGUGUAGCUAGCAUAUGGAGAUAUCUCUAUCAUUUUAGUCAAAUAGAAACAGUAACAGUACACUGAAUGUGGAAAAGAUUUUCCUGAUGCGGUGUCAGCCUCCAUUUUGACACUGUGCUCAGCAUUCAAAGGAAAAUUCUGAGGUGUCUGCUAGUGUAACAAAGAUGCUUUUCAGACAAACUCUCCAAAUAUGAAAGAUCUGACAGUUAGCACAGCAUCUGUCCCUCAAAACUGACAAGAAUAUGACUCAAUGCAAUGUGGCCAAUUGCAUUAGCUGUGAGAUCCAAACAUUAAGGGAGAAUAAAAUCCAUAUUACAUAUGCACAGAUACCAGGUUAGUGUCAGCCCCUUGGACCUGCUGUCAACACAAAUUCGCUGAUGAAAAUGUCAUACAAAGAUACUAUAUUUUUUCUUAAAACUGGAGAGAUUGCAGGGCUUCUUUAAAUUUCGAUUGGGGUCUACAUUUUAUUAUGAUGUGGAGCAUUCAUCUGGCUGCUGAAUGUGACUGCCCAAAUAGGCUCACAAACCUGAUUUGCAUUUUGAGCUUUGGCAUUUUAAAACUGUAUUGCCCCUUUACUCAAAUCGGGAGGCAGUUAACCUCAAUAGACACAGGUUGAAGGUCACACAUUAGAUAAAACAUCAUAACAUCCAUUAAAAUGCAUUAUUUAUCAUCCACUCAUCUGAAAAUUAUAUAGUUCAGAGAUCAGGAAGCCAUUAUUUUAGCUUUUUUACUACAGAAGCUUCUGAUUUUCCAUUCAUGUAAAUUUAAUAACGUUUGUGGCAACUUUUAAUUAGCUUUCUUGUGUUAGGAGUCAGGAAAAAUCUUCAGUUUGCUUAAAGAUGUCCUUUAUUUUCCUUGUUUAAAAAACAGACAUGCACAGUAUAUUCCAGUUGAUGGAGUAAAUGAACAAAUCCGGUUGAGAAAUAACAGGACAUGUCGAACUCACUAUUUAGAUGAGAACUUGCUGGUGAUCUUUGGACCAUUGUACUACUGUAUAUCCCAAGUGUGCUGGAGCUUAAGGUCACGUACUCGUGACAUCCUCAUCCCAGAUUCUCUGGUAGAGAGAAGAAUAGCAGGUAGUGUGAUAACCCCAGACUAUCAUACUACCACCACCACGUUUGAACUUUGGUAUGAUGUUUUAUUUUUAAACUGUUCUGUUAGUUGUACAACACAAAAAUUCACCUUUGUCUUGUCAGUCGACAAAUAUAUUCCCAAAAGGCUUAACCAAGAUCAGUUUUUGGAGACAGGCUCAUAUGUUCUUUAUGACCUGCCAAGGUAUUUGCCUUGGAUCUCUCCUGCCAAUGAUUUUUUUUUUAUAUACAUUCUCUUUCUUGUUGCUGAAUUAUUGGCCUUAACCGAAGCAAGCGAGGGCUGCAUUUCUUCAGAUGUUGUUCUGGGUUCUGUUGUGACCUCCUGGAUCAGUCAUUGAAGUGCUUUUGGAAAAUGCUGGUUGCCCAGCCACUUCCAUUUGUGAAUACUGGCUCUAACCGUGAUUGACAGAUUUCCAAAGCCUUAGAAAAGGCUUUGUAACCCUUUUCAAACUGACUGAUGUCAAUAACUUUAUUUCAUCUGUUCUUAAAUUUCUUCAGAUUGCAAAACAAUGUGUUGCUUUUUGAAAACGUCUAGCCUCCUUCAUGUUGUCAAACAGGUCACGUCUAAGUGAUUUUCUGAUUCAGUUUAGUUCAGAACAAUUUUUAACUUCAUGGCAAAAGAGAAUAUUGUGGUUUUUUCAUUGCGUGAUUUUUCAAUCGGAAAGGACGAUUCAUUCACUAAGAUCUGUUCAUUCCAAAGCAGGUUCUGAGAAAUAACACCGAACCCCUCCGACAUUCUCCAGAUUCUUUGUGGGAAUGAUCCUGACAGACAUCAGCAGAGGAACUGGAGCCAUUCAUGAAUGGCUUGUGCUUGCUAUCUGCCAAAGCUUGGGAUCUUGGAUGAAUCUCAACUCCAACCCACCAUCAUAAUAUUUCCUCUGUAAGGGAUUUGUAAAGUCAAUCUAAAACACUCUGAAAAACACCAAAGGAAACGCCUCACAUAAAAUAAUUCGGUUGAAGCAUGUUUGAAAAACAAUGUCUGACCUUCAUUUGUUCAAUUUCAUAGACUUUUUAUUCAUUGUUACCUUUGUCAGAUUCAAGUUAUUUCUGUGACCAUUUUGGGUUUUUCUUUCAUUAACCGAAGGGUACCAACAAUUUUGUCCACGUGUGUAAGAGAAUAAAAUAGACCUUUGUAACUACUCAUUACUGGAUUUGUGGAAGCAUGCUCAGACCUUCGAGUGUGUUGCUGGAAACGUCCACAGAAGGAGGUGUGUGAGGAAGCUGGUGAAGACAGACUUGUGAGAGAAAGAUCAACAGUUCAGCUCACUGGAUGAGCUAACAGGAUUAGGCAAGGCAGUGAGUCAUGCUCUCACCCCUGUCUGUCACAGAGGCAGGCGAUGGGCUGUGCUGCUGAAGCUGCAUAAUCACACUUAUUAUUAAAUAUCACUUUUAGUAUCAAAAGUCACAAAACUAUAAAAGUGACAAGGAUAAUAACAUCUAUGCAAAACUACACUUUUUUUUUAAAUACGUUUUUAUACAUUUGACUGGUCCCUCUACUUAGUUCUGUUUUUGUCUCUUUUAGUCGGUCAGACCUUAAUUCUCUAACUUUCUUCUUCAUCUGACUCAGCACUGAGCCAGCACAGAAAUCGCCCCACUGUGAUGUCAUUAAACACUGACUAAUGGAGUAGCUUGGAACAGUUUUGAAAUCUUACAGAAUUGUACAAUAGCCAUAAAAAGUUUAUUAAUAAACUGUUAUAAUAACUUUCUACUCAAAAACAUGACAUUGCAAGAUCAUCAUCUGCAGGAUAAAUGCACAUGGAUAGAUGGACCUUUAAGACAUAUCACACCUAUGCCUAAAAAAAUGUUAAUUACCAAACUUUUUCAGACUCUGUAUAGGAACACUGUAAUGAUUUUUGCACUAAAGAGGUAAAGAACCAUUUGCCAAACGUUUAAGGGAACAGAACGCUUUAACAACAAGCAAUGGCAGAGUUUCUGGGAGAUUUUAUUUUUGUGCAAUAUAGUUCCCAAGCCAAUAACAUUUUACCUUCCAUGCUCCUUUUUUGCAUGAAAUGAAAAAUAUGGCAACACUAGACUCAAAAUGCUGUUAUGUUUCAUUAACAGCGGGCAAAGCCCAUUUCUGCAUGGUGUAUUCGCCCCUAUAUAACAAAAACAUCAUUCCUCAAAGGAAAAUGAUCUGAGCCAACGAAUCAUCACAGCGUUUUACAUACAUUUUAGGUCAGGCAGGAGCCUGCACUUUUUUAAAAGAUUAUAUUAAAGUGUGAGCCUCUCGGUUGUAAAAAUGUAUCCUGAAACACACAAAGAACAACUGGUGAUCCCAAAAAGAGAUGUUAUUAAUCAAGAAGAACAAAAGCUAAUAAAGCAUUUUUAGAAGUUGAACUUUUUACAAUCAGAAAUAACUGGAGAGAAUAACUUCUAGGUAUUACUACAUCCUCCAGGAACACUCAACAAGCUGACAUGAAUAAAAUAUGGAGUAUUAUAAUCUGUGCAGUCUUAGAGGAACUACUUUUAAUUCAGGAGGUGUGCAAUGAUGCAAGGAGAAACAAUUUAUAGACUAAAUAUCACUGGAAGAACACCAAAGGCAGUAAGAAAAAUGUUUCAUGAGACCCAACCUAUUGGAGAAGCAUUGAUUUUUGUUUUUGUUUUAUUAAUAGGGUCAUAUUUUUCAUUAAUCCCACAUUUGUGUAUUAAAAUGUUUUUUUAUUGGUCUGAUGUAAUAUUCUAAUCUUAAAUGCCAUGUUUUCAUUAACUGUGAGCAGAAAAAUCAUCAUGAUUAACACAAAUGUCUUGAAAACAUCAGUCUGUGUUUAAUUAGUCUAUGUUAUGUUUCACUUAAUAGAGUUCCUAAAAUAAAUGGACUUUUCAGUAGUAUUUAAAGUUAUUGAAUGAGUCUGUAUUUACAUAACUCUAUACACUUCUUGGCACCAGUGGCGGCAUCAGAGGAGGUUCCCCCGCCUUGAAUAACAUUGGCCACCCCGGUGGCACCCCCAGAUGUUGUAAAUUGUUAAUUUAACGACUAAUGCUGAGUUGUCCAUGGGUCCGUGAACGCACCUGGCUUUUCCUUUGUUAUUGCACUUUUUUUUCAUGUAGAGUACUUUUAAAAGUCUGCAAUAUAUACAUUUGAAUUCAUUUUAACAGCGUGAUUGAACUUUGUCAUUGUUGACAAGUGUUAAGUAAAUAAUUUACAUAAAAAUUAUUAUUUUAAGUGUA